rnacentral:lncRNA from 1 species
UUGUUAGCUCCAGGAAAGGAGCUGGUUCAAUGCAAAAACAGAGCAUGUGUUACAUGACUCACUUGGUAUGUGAGAUACCGGUUCAAAGUGGUUAUGAGCUGAUGACGUGGAGACAUCGGCUUAGAAGAUCUUUGCUGUGGUGAUAAGCUUGAGAAGAUUUGCUGUUAGCUUAAUAUUAGGAGAUGAGAAUAUUAUGUAACAGAGUAUAUAACUGUGACUAGAUAGGAGAUUUAGGUCACGGUUUUAGAGAUUGAAAAGAGCAAGUGUAAGAGGCUGUUCUACACUGGCUCGCGUGGGUACAAUUGGUG